rfam:Beta vulgaris subsp. vulgaris Bvchr6.sca002.con0091.1, whole genome shotgun sequence.
ACCCCCUUUUUAUAGAACAGGGGUAAAAAAUGGCCAUUGAGAUGAUUGGGAUAAACUUCAUCGUCUAGAGGGAAACCUCCCAAAUCACCAGGUGAAGCCCCUAAAUGACUGAGCCUAAAUGUUUUCUCAGUGAUAAGGAGGUAGGGAUGCAGCUAGGAAGUUUGUCUAGAAGCAACCACCUUUAGAGUGUGUGCGUAAUACCUCACCUAUCGAGCGCUCUUGCGCCGAAGAUGAACAUGACUAAGCGGUCUUUCGAAGCUAUGAGAAGUAAAAAAGCAUCGGUAGGGGAUUGUUGUUUUGUGUUAGGGAGAAGCAUUAGCGCGAGUUGUUCCGAACAAAGCGAAAGCG